rnacentral:misc_RNA from 1 species
CCGAAUGUUACUCAACAUAAACCCUUGUGAACCUUCUAUAUUACUGCCUUGGCAGGUAAUCCCAGGGCGGGAUUCUAGGCCUCUUCGGAGGCACCUGCCAGCGGCAGAAAAUUUUCAGACUCUGAAUUUCAAUACGCUUCUGAGUGUUAUUAAAAAUAAGUUA